UAGGUAGCUUAACCUUCUGGAGGGCGCUUACCACUUUGUGAUUCAUGACUGGGGUGAAGUCGUAACAAGGUAACCGUAGGGGAACCUGCGGUUGGAUCACCUCCUUACCUUAAAGAAGC
rnacentral:rRNA from 1 species